UAUACUUUUCAUUCCGCAGAAACUUUUAUCAUUCAAUCAUCAAUUUGUUGCAAAUUAAUCCAUCUUUGCCUUCACAGCUCAUCCAAAUUCCAAAUACCAUGUGGGGACUUCGCUCAUCAUCAACAUUAGCGAGCAUUUUUCUCCUACUCUCAGUUGCCAUGAGCUUUUCAGCUUCUAAACAAUUUAAAAAUGAAACUGAUCGUCUUGCUCUGCUUGAAUUCAAGAAGCAGAUAUACAAUGACCCGCUGGGAGUGCUGAACUCCUGGAACCUUUCACAACACCAUUGUCAGUGGGAAGGAGUCACAUGUGGUACUCGACAUCAGAGGGUGAUAGCCUUGACUCUACGGCAUAAGCAGUUGUCUGGAACCAUAUCUCCUCAUGUCGGAAAUCUAAGCUUCAUGAGGUUCAUCCAACUUGGGGAGAAUCAAUUCCAUGGUGAGAUUCCCCAAGAAUUCGGUCGCCUCUUCAGGCUGAGAGUCCUGAACCUCUCAAGUAACGCGAUCGGUGGAAAAAUCCCAGCAAACCUGAGCUACUGCUCAGAGUUGGUAACUAUUAGCCUAAUCGAGAACAAGCUUGAAGGGAAAAUUCCGAUUGAUCAGCUGAGCAAUCUGAAGAAGCUUAAAGGAAUAUUUUUUAGCAUAAACAAUUUGACGGGAGAGAUUCCCUCUUCCAUUGGGAACUUAUCAUCGCUGACUUCACUCAGUCUUGCCCUUAACAAUCUGGAGGGAAAUUUGCCCAUGGAAAUGGGGCUCUUAAAAAGGUUAUCCUUUUUUUCAGCACCAGCAAAUAAACUAUCUGGUAUAAUCCCUGCCUCCAUCUUUAAUAGUUCAGCCAUUACUGUCAUUUCAGUGGGCGGCAAUUCCUUUCAUGGCAGUCUCCCAACCAACAUAGGUCUCACCCUACCAAAUCUGGAAGCAUUAGCUGUUGGGGGAAACAACUUCUAUGGAAACUUUCCAUCUUCAAUCACUAAUGCUUCUGGGCUUGAGAUACUUGAUCUUCCCUAUAAUAAGUUCGCAGGCCAAGUUCCAGCUAAUUUAGGAGAUCUGACAAAUCUUCAAUUAUUAAAUCUUGACACAAACCUCUUCGGCGGUAAUUCAACUGGAGAUUUAGAUUUUAUUGCAUCAUUGACCAACUGCAGUGAUCUCAGAAUUCUUGCCUUGGGUUACAAUAACUUCGGAGGUAAUAUACCCAAACUCAUGGCCAAUCUCUCAAAACAACUCACUGAACUGUACCUGGGGGGAAAUCAACUGUCAGGACCUAUUCCAGAAGGAUUUGGAAACUUUGUCAACCUAUAUAAACUUGACCUUGAAUUGAACUCUUUUUCAGGGAUUAUUCCAAGAGAUUUUGGCAAGUUACCAAAUUUGCAAGGAUUGCGUCUGAACCAAAAUGACUUGUCAGGACAGAUAGUCUCUACCCUAUGCAACAACACCAAUCUAUUCUUUCUGGACUUAUCAUUUAACCAGUUUGAAGGGGGCAAUAUAUUUGACAAUGUUCUUAUGAGCUGUCAAAAUUUGCAAUAUCUGGAUAUAUCUCAAAACAACUUCACUGGAAUUAUAUCACCUCAUUUUCUGCAGACGCACUCAUCACUGAUUGCUAUGGUAUUAAGUGAAAAUUCUUUCACUGGUUCUCUGCCUCCUGAAGUUGGAAAGCUUGUACAUUUGGUGAAUUUCUCGGUUUCCCACAACCAAUUUUCUGGCGAUAUACCCAUCUCACUUGCUGAUUGUUCAGAUCUGGAGAAUCUUUAUAUGGAAGCCAAUUUUUUCCAAGGAACAAUUCCACCAAAUUUGGCUUCUUGGAAGAGCAUCCAGCAAUUAGACCUUUCAAGUAAUAACUUGACUGGUCCAAUACCCAGAGAACUUGAGAAGCUUCACUCUUUGAGCCACUUAAAUCUUUCCUACAACGACAUCGAGGGCGAGAUACCAAACACUGGAAUUUUCGGUAAUGCAAGUCAAAUAUCAUUGACUGGCAACAAAAAACUCUGUGGAGGCAUUGCAGAAUUGGAGUUCCCACCUUGCCCAGUGAUUAAGGGGAAAAACAGAGGAAAGCUGAAGGUUAUCAUAUUGUUGUCCAUUGUUUUACCGGCAACGCUUCUAGUUCUUGGUGCAUUGUUGUUAUAUUCCUUGGUACAUCGAAAAAGAGAAAGAAGAAUGGUGGCCGGAUUCUCUAGCAUGCCCCCAAGAAUCGAUGAGCUCUUGCGAAUUUCUUACCAUGAACUUCAUCGUGCAACUUCAGGAUUUUCUCUAGAAAACUUAAUUGGUUCAGGAAAUUUUGGAGCUGUCUACAAAGGAAGGCUAGAAAAACAUGGCAACAAGCUUGUUGCAGUGAAAGUUCUUGAUCUUCAAAAGAACGGAGCUUCGAAAAGUUUUAAGGCCGAGUGCAAAGCAUUGAGAAAUAUUCGCCAUAGAAACCUCGUUUCUAUCGUGAGUUAUUGCUCCAGUAUUGAUUCCAAGGGUGAUGAAUUCAAAGCUCUAAUCUAUGAGUUCAUGGAAAAUGGAAAUCUGGACCUGUGGCUGCAUCCUUCAGAGACAACUGAUCAGGCAACAAGCUCAAGAAGUCUUAAUCUUCUUCAGAAGCUAAAUAUUGGAAUUGAUGUGGCUUCAGCAUUGCAAUAUCUUCACGACCACUGCGAAGCUGAGAUUGUUCACUGUGAUCUAAAACCAAGUAACAUUCUUCUUGACAAUGAUCUUGUUGCUCAUGUGGGUGAUUUUGGAUUGGCAAGGCUUCUCCCGAAACACAUCAACACUUCUUCCGAGCAAAGAACCAGUAGUACUAUUGCCAUAAAAGGAUCAAUCGGUUAUGCAGCUCCAGAGUAUGGAAUGGGUCUUGCGCCAUCAACUCAGGGGGAUGUCUACAGCUACGGCAUUCUUUUGCUAGAGAUGAUUACAGGGAGGAGACCAACAGAUGAUAUAUUCGUGGGUGAUCUUGAUCUGCAUAACUAUGUUGAUGGGGCUUUGCAUGAACGAGUUCCUGAGAUCGUGGACCCGUUGCUUUUUCUUGAGGGAGAUGAAAACAGAAAUAUGACUCCUGGAGGGAAAAAUAGCAAUGGUGGAAAAGAGAUGGAGUGCAUUAUUUCCCUGCUGAAAAUUGGACUUAAGUGCUCUGCAAGAUUACCAAAUGGUAGGAUGCAUAUGAAUGAAGUUGUCAGAAAGUUACAUCUCAUUAAAGAUGUUUUCCUUGGUGUCAGGGUGCAUCAAGAAAAUCUUGAAGCUUAAUAUCUACAGGUAUACACAAGAAUUUAACACAGCCCGCAAGUUGAAGUCCAUUUUUACUAUAUUAGCAAAAAAAGGUCUGAAUCUCCAAGCUGAAGUUGUGAAUGGGGUGAGCUAAUGAAGAAGACACCUUUGGCUUUUCAUUUGAAAAUAAAAAUAAUGGGAUGAUUCAAACAUAUUCCUGUAGUCUUUCUUUCUAAGAAUUAGAUGUUCUUGAAGGCAGUCAAUUGGUUCAAUUCUGCUUGAACAUCUUAAUGCUUCCAUAUUAUGCUUGGAUAGUAUGCAACACAUUAUACUUACAAUGCAUAGUCUUGCUCCCACUUUCUUUGAA